CAUACACAUAUCGUUCUUUCAGAUACAUCCCGGCUCCUAUCUCAAUCGAAAUUCUAGUGUAAAUUGUGCCUCGCCAUCCUUCGCGUCCGUACAAAAAUAAGCAUCGCCGUGGAAGCAGUUUGAUCGAGAAAGCGCGAUUUUUCCCGCGAUCUCCGAAAACUAGGAUCACCUGUAAUUUGGAUGUUGUGUAAUUUCUAGUCGCGUACGCGUGGUACACAUUUGUAUCUGAAAUUGCGAAUCGAAACGAAAACGAAAAAAAAAAUAUCGAAGAGGUAUCGAACGGGAAAAGCUGGAUGAAAAUUGCCUAAGCAGCGGAGAAAGUUGGCGAAAUCGAGAAGUGAAUUUCCGCGGCGAUCGCGUGCUUUGGCGUUUUGUUUAAAAACAGUUGAAGAUUUUAAAUGAUCGCCCGAUGAAAAGCAAUUUUCGCGGAACGCGAGCUAUCGCCAAGUGAUUGCUAGAUGAAUUUCCCAAUGUAAACAGAUUGAAUUGAAAUAGCAACGCGACUCCCAACGUUCGCGAGUUCUUCAUAGUUUCGGUUUCAGUUCAUCGAAUUGCUUGCGCGGUUUUCUGUUGAUGGAAUCGCUGUUGUUGACGGUCACCGCGUGGUAAACUCGAAAUUCAAUUUCAAUUUUAAUUUCGUAAUUUUCGUAUUUUCCCCCUCGGUGAGAAGCGCCAGUGUAGUGUUCUAUUCGAAGGAAAAUAACUUAAACGGAGAGAAACCGGUGGUAGUGCAUAUAACAGCGUAGCAUUCGUCGCAAUUGCUAAUCUCCUAAAUGAACAUUAAACGUGACACAUAUUACGAACAGGCAAGAAACCGUGCAAAGAUUCGAAACCAAUUUGAGUGGUUAUGACGAGAUUUUUGGCAAACAGAUUCAUCAACCACAAUUAUUCCACAAAAAUAAACACAGAGUGAAAAUAAACCCGCAAUUUCUAGUAUCAAGGC